GUGAACGCUGGCGGUAGGCCUAACACAUGCAAGUCGAACGGCAGCACAGUAAGAGCUUGCUCUUACGGGUGGCGAGUGGCGGACGGGUGAGGAAUACAUCGGAAUCUACUUUUUCGUGGGGGAUAACGUAGGGAAACUUACGCUAAUACCGCAUACGACCUACGGGUGAAAGCAGGGGAUCUUCGGACCUUGCGCGAUUGAAUGAGCCGAUGUCGGAUUAGCUAGUUGGCGGGGUAAAGGCCCACCAAGGCGACGAUCCGUAGCUGGUCUGAGAGGAUGAUCAGCCACACUGGAACUGAGACACGGUCCAGACUCCUACGGGAGGCAGCAGUGGGGAAUAUUGGACAAUGGGCGCAAGCCUGAUCCAGCCAUACCGCGUGGGUGAAGAAGGCCUUCGGGUUGUAAAGCCCUUUUGUUGGGAAAGAAAAGCAGCAGGUUAAUACCCCGCUGUUCUGACGGUACCCUAAGAAUAAGCACCGGCUAACUUCGUG
rnacentral:rRNA from 1 species